UAAUUUCAAACUCACGCUCUACACGUUCGCAUCCGUUUACUCCCUGCAUGCCCGCCACCCUCUCAUAUCUAGGGUUUUUGUUUGGUCAUCCUUUCCUCUAUUUGUACACGUACGGUUAGCCCUCAUUCUCCUGUGCCUAGUGUUCACUUUCAACCUUUAGACUAGAGUCGCCGCCACUCAUUCUUCUCAUCAAUGAAGAUCAAACCGAGACCUCCACUCCGUUGCAACUAGCAAGGCCUGUGCGGAAUGACUGGUGGCACGUUCGUGGUGUUGCUGUGUUAGAAAUCCAAUCCCCCAUGCAUCCCAGCCACGGUUAACCCCAUCGAGAGCCACCCAUCUAACGGAAAACCAUCCAGCUGUUGUCCCUGUUUUAGCAACCAAAAACAGAGCAGUCCACUUACACCAGCUCCUUCACACCGGUUGUCUCAGCCACUUUUAGCAUCACUGCCAACUGUCAAGCUCACCAUCAUCGACCUCUGCCCAGCCGUUGGUCCACCGUACGCCACCUCUAGCUCACGCCGAUCUCUCUCUUGGUUUCUCUUCAGGACAGGUUUGUUUCACAUCUUUGUGCAACCGUAGCAGCCCAGCUUCCAGCCUCCAGUUUCCUUGUUCUCUAUGAUAUUGAUGACCCAGCUAUGAGUCGGGAUUAGAAAUUGGAACUUGCCUUGCUAUAGAUAGAGAGCCGAAUACCUAAGGAUACCAAUAUACUUAGAAGAGUUUGAUUUGAGUAUUUGGAGUUCUUUAUGUCAUUUAGAUCUAUUGAGACUUAUUUAAAAUUUCAGUCUAUUAUGUUAAGGUUACUAGAAGAUUGUGGAGACAAGGAUUUAUGUUAAUUAAUCUUUUCAUUUUGAUGACUUU